rnacentral:tRNA from 1 species
AUUUAAAUAGCUUAUAUAAGAGCAUAACAUUGAAGUUGUUAGGGAGGUAAAUUAUCUUUAAAUA